UGGCUCAGAACGAACGCUGGCGGCAGGCUUAACACAUGCAAGUCGAGCGAAGACUUCGGUCUUAGCGGCGGACGGGUUAGUAACGCGUGGGAACGUGCCUCUCUCUACGGAAUAGUCCCGGGAAACUGGGUUUAAUACCGUAUACGCCCUUUGGGGGAAAGAUUUAUCGGAGAGAGAUCGGCCCGCGUAAGAUUAGGUAGUUGGUGGGGUAAUGGCCUACCAAGCCUACGAUCUUUAGCUGGUUUUAGAGGAUGAUCAGCAACACUGGGACUGAGACACGGCCCAGACUCCUACGGGAGGCAGCAGUGGGGAAUCUUAGACAAUGGGCGCAAGCCUGAUCUAGCCAUGCCGCGUGAGUGAUGAAGGCCUUAGGGUCGUAAAGCUCUUUCGCCAGAGAUGAUAAUGACAGUAUCUGGUAAAGAAACCCCGGCUAACUCCGUGCCAGCAGCCGCGGUAAUACGGAGGGGGUUAGCGUUGUUCGGAAUUACUGGGCGUAAAGCGCACGUAGGCGGAUCAGAAAGUUGGGGGUGAAAUCCCAGGGCUCAACCCUGGAACUGCCUCCAAAACUCCUGGUCUUGAGUUCGAGAGAGGUGAGUGGAAUUCCGAGUGUAGAGGUGAAAUUCGUAGAUAUUCGGAGGAACACCAGUGGCGAAGGCGGCUCACUGGCUCGAUACUGACGCUGAGGUGCGAAAGUGUGGGGAGCAAACAGGAUUAGAUACCCUGGUAGUCCACACCGUAAACGAUGAAUGCCAGUCGUCGGGUAGUAUACUGCUCGGUGACACACCUAACGGAUUAAGCAU
rnacentral:rRNA from 1 species